rnacentral:rRNA from 1 species
AUACGUAGGGUGCAAGCGUUGUCCGGAUUUACUGGGUGUAAAGGGCGCGCAGGUGGGUUCUUAAGUCAAAGGUGAAAUCUCACUGCUUAACAGUGAAACUGCCUUUGAUACUAAGAACCUUGAGUACGGGAGAGGGAGAUGGAAUUCCAGGUGUAGCGGUGAAAUGCGUAGAUAUCUGGAGGAACACCGGAGGCGAAGGCGGUCUCCUGGCCCGUUACUGACACUCAGGCGCGAAAGCGUGGGGAGCAAACAGGAUUAGAUACCCUGGUAGUCCACGCUGUAAACGAUGGGUACUAGAUGUUGGUUCGCCUUAGGCGAAUCAGUGUCGUAGCUAACGCGUUAAGUACCCCACCUGGGGAGUACGAUCGCAAGGUUGAA